rnacentral:tmRNA from 1 species
UUUGCGAAACCCAAGGUGCAUGCCGAGGGGCGGUUGGCCUCGUAAAAAGCCGCAAAAAAAUAGUCGCAAACGACGAAAACUACGCUUUAGCAGCUUAAUAACCUGCUUAGAGCCCUCUCUCCCUAGCCUCCGCUCUUAGGACGGGGAUCAAGAGAGGUCAAACCCAAAAGAGAUCGCGCGGAUGCCCUGCCUGGGGUUGAAGCGUUAAAACGAAUCAGGCUAGUCUGGUAGUGGCGUGUCCGUCCGCAGGUGCCAGGCGAAUGUAAAGACUGACUAAGCAUGUAGUACCGAGAGAUCGGAAG